UGAGUUUAACGUGCAUGUAAAGUUCAUGCAUGAUUAAACAACAGAAGUACUCGUUUCUUCAUUUUUCAUUUCAUCUUGGGGAUGUACAGACCAUCAGCUGCUCAUGCUAAUUAUGAAAAGAGGAAGGAAGGCAGGGGAGAUUUGAGCAAUCGUCGUAUCCUCCAAAAGACAAGUUUCCUUUCAAGACUCGAUUAACCAGCAGAGAUGUUAGUUUACUUGAACAUCAGAAAUAGUGUUUAGUAUUUGCAUCUUAUCUUUCUUCUGAUAAUUUUUGCCAUACAGAAAUCAGCAGAAUGGAUAUGAGUUUAACUGCAGCAGCGACGGGAUUCGUUGUCUGUCUUCUCUCUUUGUCAGUGGUACAGGGUCAAGAUCGCUGGGGAAUAGCUUACUCUACUUCUGAGAUAUGUGCUUUAAAAGGAGCAACAGUGGAAAUAAGCUGCACCUACAGCUACCCAAGGAUGAUCAAUGGCCUGCCUACCGCAGUUGAGAAUACAUUCUGGUAUCGUAAACUGCAGGAUAAAGUGCCCUUUGACCUGAGGGCCGACGCAGAGUAUGCCGGUCGGGUGCAGUAUCAUUGUGAGGAAAACAGCUGCACUCUGAGAAUAACAGACCUGAGAGAGAGCGACUCGGCUCAGUACAUACUCAGGUUCAUGACAAACCAAGAAGGUGGGAGUUUCAGUGGUGCUCCUGGAGUCUAUUUGUCUGUUACAGGUUUCCAGGUGCAGAUUUACGAAUCAGAACCAUGCAAAACUUAUGACUGCACAUGGUCCCAUUUUGAGUGUAAAAGCAGAUGUCGUCUACCUGGUCAGACUUCCUACAUCUGGUACAAGAAUGAGGAGAAAAUUCAGAGGCUAGCGUCAAAUUCUUAUGAAAAAUAUUUUUAUUCUGCAAACAGUUAUUCUUGUGCUGUACACGGAUACGAAGAAUCACCCUCGCCUUCAGUGUGUGGCCAUGGUCAUUCAUGCAACAGAGUGAUGUACAAUGACAGAACAAUCUGUGCCUUCAAAGGCUCAUCAGUGGACAUUUCCUGCACUUACAACAGUUAUGGUAAUAUAAUAUCAAAAUUCUGGUUCAGUCGUGAACAAAGUCACCAUCUGGGAUAUUAUAAACGACCUAAGGACCUCAGUAAAGCCUCCCAGUAUUCAGAUCGUUUUCAGGUUAUUGAAACAGAGAGAGGACGCUCCACUCUGAGAAUCUCUGACCUGAGCGAGGGAGAUUCAGCAGAAUAUUGCUUCAAAUUCAGAACAACAUAUUUUCAAUGGCAGAGCAAAUUUCCUGGUACAUCUCUGACUGUCAAAGAUCCUGAUUUACAGGUCCAGGUGAUCUGGUCUGCUAUGGGUCCAAGGCUCAUUUGUCACAGCAGCUGUAUCCAUGGAGGUCGCUCUCCCUUUGUUUGGUUCAAGAAUGAAACAAAAAUUAUAGAAGAAACCUCUUCAUCUUAUCAAGGAUUAGUCGACCCUGCAGACAUGUAUUCCUGUGCUUACGAGAGAUAUCACUCUUUUUCUGUGUAUGCCCCGACACCUCCGUCAGUGUUGAUGAGACCCACUGGUGACAUAAUGAGGAACAGUUCAGUGACUCUGACCUGUAGCAGUGAAGCUAACCCAGCACCUAGAUACACCUGGUACAAGAAGAACCAAUCACUGCUCAAAGAACCACACCUUUACCUCCACUCCGUCCAGUCUGCUGACUCUGGAGAGUAUUACUGUACAGCUGAGAACAUGCUGGGAAGGAGGAAAUCAAAAUAUGUCUCUGUGAAUGUGAAAUAUUGUCCACAGGUUGCAACUUUGUCAGUAAGUCCCUCUGGCGAGAUAGUGGAGGGCAGUACAGUGACUCUGACCUGUAGCAGUGACGCUAACCCAGCAGCUAAUUAUACCUGGUACAAGGAGAACCACAAACUGCUUGAAGGACAGGAAAGCAUUUAUAAUUUCACCAACAUCAGCUCAGAGGACAGAGGGCUCUACUACUGCAAAUCUGAAAACCAAUAUGGAAGAGUCAACUCCACUUCUCUAUUUUUAGAUGUUCAUUAUGGUCCAAAGCUUCCCUCUGUGUCAGUAAUUCUCUCUGCUGAGGUCGUGGAGGGCAGUUUGGUGACUUUGAUAUGUAGCAGUGAUGCUAACCCAGCAGCUAAUCACACCUGGUAUAAGGAGAAUGAAGACUCACCUAAAGCUUCAGGACCGAGCUUCACCAUCAGUGACUUCAGGGCUGAACUCAGUGGAAAUUAUUACUGUGUAGCCCAGAACACAUUAGGACGUCACACUUCUGCCUUUCAUAUGAUGGCUAUUGCAGGGGCAAGGAUGUCAGCAGCUGUAGGAACAAUCACUGCUGUUCUCCUAGCUAUCAUUCUUCUCACUGUCUUCUUUUGGAUAAGGAGAAAGAAGUCCUCCAUACAACAAUCCACGGGUAGUAAGAGACCCGGUAACAGAGCACAGCAAAAUAUAGGUCCAAUGUGUGAGAACGCGUCAGCUGCAGCACAGAGACGACGACCUGAACAGCCGGAUCCCCUUCGCUAUGCCAGUAUCCGCUUCUUUCAAAACCAGGCAGAUGUUCUCUACUCCAACGUCAGGCCAGCCCGGCCCCACAGACGGUCACAGGAAGAGGACAGAGAGGAUCAAACUGAAUAUGCAACUGUCCAAAUAAAGACUGCCGGUAGACAUCCGGGACACCAAGAAGCAAGAGAGGAUUCCUUUUCUCGGUAUAACACUGUCAAACCAAGAUAACACAAGCACUUCUUUCAAGGAGUUACCCUGAGGAUUAAGACCCCAUGCAAUCAUACUGAGCGUCUAAAAAUCCAGUUUACCUUCAAAAAUACACAUUUUCAUCUUCUUUUGAGCGGUUGCUUGACCUCAAUUACAAUACCAAAACUUGUACUGAGCCUGCUCUAAUUAUUAUUUUGAGUUUUAUCAAGCGCAUGAAACUUAUUUCAGAUAUGAUAAUGAACAGCUGUGUUAAAACAGUAACUUUGGGGCAAAGCAUGGACGAGUCUUUAGACCAAAUUCACAGAUUUUGCUACACAUCAUGAACAACUUCUUAAAGGUUUUCUGAGUAAAUUUGACGUGGAUAUUUUCAACAGAUUUGGAGCAGUACCUCAGUAAUAAUAUGUAAUUUCCUUUCACCACAAAAGGAUGAUAUGUCUAAUAUGGAAUAUCAAUCAGUCAAUAAAUCUUUUUUUGUAUAGCUCAAAUUCAUAACACAUCUCGAGACACUUUAAAAAAGCAGGUAAAACACCAUAUUUAUUUUUUGUUAUAUAACAUUACAAAAGAGCAGGUAAAAAGACCUACUCAUUGGUGUAUUACAAAGACCCAAUGUUAAUCUGUCAAAAUGGAGGUGGACUAAAUGAUAUACCUAGGAGGAGUUCAUGCUAUUAGGACCCCUGUAAAUGGCCAAAACAUAACACUGAUAUUUAGUCAUUUUUUUUCCUAAAUGGCAAGUUUCCUGUUGGAGUGAUGGUAUGGGCCCAAGAGGCUUUUUGAUGAUCUCUCCAAACCACAUCUGCCCCAUGUUGGAUGCAUGUGAACAGUUUCAUGACUUUUCAAACCCAAAAGUUCAGGGAAAGACAUAAAAAAGUAAUAAUAAAUAAUCCCUACCAGAUAGGGUUCUUGCACCAGUCGGUACCUGGGGCUCCAAUAAUGUCCAUCCAUCCAUCCAUCCUACACAUAUCUACCUACCUACAUCCAUCCUCUGUAAGUUUUAUUAUCCAGUCAAAGGUUUUGCCGAUCUUCCACUGUCUACUUUAAGCUCUGUCUGUUGAAUAUUUAGUUUAGUUCUCUGGGUACAUUUGUUUUCAAAUCUGCACAAAUAAACUGUUUGCUCUUUCUCUACACAUAACCAAUAGACCAAUAGUCUUGCUGACUACACCUACAGUGACUUAACUGACUGUUUCAAACCUUUCAUCACAUUCUUGAUUAGGUUAAACCACAAAAACAACUUGGUAAGGUUUAGGAGACAAUUAUGGGUAAAAAUAUUGAAUUGACAUUGACAGUUUGUUUCAUGCAGGACAGGUAGGGAUUAUAUGGUAGGCUGGGACAGAUAAUAAUUAUAUCUUAAUGACAUUCUCCUUUGAUGAACUUUUCUUCGGGGGAGGAAAGUUACAUGUUGUUGCUGGAAAAAUCACUGUUGUUUACCGUUGUAAUUAUUGUUUUUGUUUUUUCCAUUCUUCCUACAAGAAAAAGGAGGACUUCCAAUAAACAUUCAAAGACUGAAAAGAGACAGGGCAACAUGGGGAAGAGACCACCAGAGGAGCUGGACGACCUUCAGUAUGCCAGU